GCACUUUGAAGAGAGAGUUAAAGAGGACGUGAAACCGAUGAGAUGGAAACGGACAGAGCUAGCGUAUCUGGCUUGCAUUCAGCUUAUGCGGUCGCUACCGAUGCGUCGCUGACCUCCAGAUUGGGGCUUUGACUAGUCGGUCGGUGGCUGUGUUGUGCAUUUGCAAGUGGAGUGCGUCGAGGCAUCUGGGAUGGCGGAAUGAACUUGGCUUUGAGGCCAGCUUGCUGGUACCCGGGCCUGGGGAUUUCUGUUCGUUCUAGGUGUUUUUGCGGUCGAACAAGGCUUUGCGAGCCUGGUUGGGUGCCGAGCUGGGUGUCGGUGGCGGUCGCAUGCGACACGUACUGUGCCACCAGUUCGGUCCUGGCCGAGCUCACUCCAUGUUCAAUCUCGGCGUAAAAGCUGGUCAUCUUUCCGACCCGUCUUGAAACACGGACCAAGGAGUUUAUCGUGUGCGCGAGUCAUUGGGCGUUGAAAACCCAAAGGCGCAAUGAAAGUAAAUGUAUCCGCUCGGAACUGAUGUGCGACCCUGGUCACUGCGGUGGCCAGGAGCAGCAUGGCCCCAUCCUGACUGCUUGCAGUGGGGUGGAGGAAGAGCGUACGCGAUGAGACCCGAAAGAUGGUGAACUAUUCCUGAGCAGGAUAAAGCCCGAGGAAACUCUGGUGGAAGUCCGAAGCGAUUCUGACGUGCAAAUCGAUCGUCUGACUU
rnacentral:rRNA from 1 species